ACACAGGUUCUCAUGUCCCUGCUGCUCUGGGUGUCUGGUGCCUGUGCAGGUAUUGUGAUGAGGCAGUCUCCAUCCUCCAUGGCUGUAUCAUUAGGAGAGAAGGUCACCAUCAGCUGCAAGUCCAGUCAGAGUCUUUUCGGCAGUAACUACAACAAAAACUACUUGAGCUGGUACCAGCAGAAACCAGAGCAGGCUCCUAAACUGCUAAUCUACUAUGCAUCCACUCGGCACACAGGGGUCCCUGAUCGCUUCAUAGGCAGUGGAUCUGAGACAGAUUUCACUCUCACCAUCAGUAGUGUCCAGGCUGAAGAUCUGGCAGAUUAUUACUGUAUGCAAAAUAAUGAGUAUCCUCCCACAGUGCUUCAGCCUCCAACAAAAACUUCUGAGAAUCUCAACAGCUGCCUGCAUCACAGGCUGCCCUGCACCUCAUCUGUGUUCUUUGCCAUGUUCAGUGGCAGUGGGUGUGAAUCAGCCAUCACCCUCACCUGCCAUCCCGAGGAAGCUGAAGAUGCUACAAACUAUUUCUGUCAACAGAGCAAUGGGCUUCAUCCCACAGUGCUUCAAAGCUAA